CCUGGCCAUUUCUGUGACUGUAAAUAUCGCUUUCAUCUGGUAUCGAAUAAGAAAAUCAUCAAGUAAGCAGCUUAGAGAAACAAACAAUGAAAUGAACCAACUGGACCAUAAUAAUAGUGGAGUCGGACUGGAUCUGAAUUAUGCUGCAUUACGUUUCUCUGGAGGGGAAGCACCAAGAGGCAAGACGAAGAGAGAUUUGAGGACUGAAUG